rnacentral:rRNA from 1 species
GUGGGGAAUCUUGCGCAAUGGCCGAAAGGCUGACGCAGCGACGCCGCGUGUGGGAGGACGCCUUUCGGGGUGUAAACCACUGUUGCCCGGGACGAACUUCUGGUUUCGACCAGAUUGACGGUACCGGGUGAGGAAGCACCGGCUAACUCCGUGCCAGCAGCCGCGGUAAUACGGAGGGUGCGAGCGUUGUCCGGAAUCAUUGGGCGUAAAGGGCGCGUAGGUGGCCCGGUCAGUUCGUGGUGAAAGCGCGGGGCUCAACCCUGCGUCGGCCAUGAAUACUGCCGCGGCUGGAGCACUGUAGAGGCAGGCGGAAUUCCGGGUGUAGCGGUGGAAUGCGUAGAGAUCCGGAAGAACACCGGUGGCGAAGGCGGCCUGCUGGGCAGUUGCUGACACUGAGGCGCGACAGCGUGGGGAGCAAACAGGAUUAGAAACCCCAGUAGUCC